GACGAACGCUGGCGGCGUGCUUAACACAUGCAAGUCGAACGAUGAACCCGGAGCUUGCUCCGGCGGAUUAGUGGCGAACGGGUGAGUAACACGUGAGUAACCUGCCCUUGACUCUGGGAUAACUGCGGGAAACUGUAGCUAAUACCGGAUACGACCCUCGGCGGCAUCGCCAGGGGGUGGAAAGAAUUUCGGUCAAGGAUGGACUCGCGGCCUAUCAGCUAGUUGGUGAGGUAACGGCUCACCAAGGCGACGACGGGUAGCCGGCCUGAGAGGGAGGCCGGCCACACUGGGACUGAGACACGGCCCAGACUCCUACGGGAGGCAGCAGUGGGGAAUAUUGCACAAUGGGCGCAAGCCUGAUGCAGCAACGCCGCGUGAGGGAUGACGGCCUUCGGGUUGUAAACCUCUUUUAGUAGGGAAGAAGCGAAAGUGACGGUACCUGCAGAAAAAGCACCGGCUAACUACGUGCCAGCCGCCGCGGUAA
rnacentral:rRNA from 1 species